GUCUACAGCCAUGCCUCCCUGAACAUACCUGAUCUUGUCUGAUCUCAGAAGCUAAGCAGGGUCGGGCUUGGUUAGUACUUGGAUGGGAGACCACUCAGGAAGACCAGGAGCUGUAGGCA
rnacentral:rRNA from 1 species